AUUGAACGCUGGCGGCAGGCCUAACACAUGCAAGUCGAACGGUAACAGGAAGCAGCUUGCUGCUUCGCUGACGAGUGGCGGACGGGUGAGUAAUGUCUGGGAAACUGCCCGAUGGAGGGGGAUAACUACUGGAAACGGUAGCUAAUACCGCAUAACGUCGCAAGACCAAAGAGGGGGACCUUCGGGCCUCUUGCCAUCGGAUGUGCCCAGAUGGGAUUAGCUUGUUGGUGAGGUAACGGCUCACCAAGGCGACGAUCCCUAGCUGGUCUGGGAGGAUGACCAGCCGCACUGGAACUGAGACACGGUCCAGACUCCUACGGGAGGCAGCAGUGGGGAAUAUUGCACAAUGGGCGCAAGCCUGAUGCAGCCAUGCCGCGUGUAUGAAGAAGGCCUUCGGGUUGUAAAGUACUUUCAGCGGGGAGGAAGGCGGUGAGGUUAAUAACCUCGCCGAUUGACGUUACCCGCAGAAGAAGCACCGGCUAACUCCGUGCCAGCCGCCGCCGUAA
rnacentral:rRNA from 1 species